AUUAGCUUUCUGCUAUUUUGUUUUUUCUGAAAUUCAUUCCCUCCCAUUAAGAAAAGGUAGACUCACAGUUGCACAGGCCAUGCCCAAAAAAAAGGUUUGUAAAUGACGUUUAAGAAAAUAGGUUGUAAGAAAAAGGUUGUAAAUGAUGUUCUUCGCGAACAAAAUAUAAUAAUAAAGCAAUAGUUUGUUCAAUGGUUGUGUUGCUGCUUACCACUGUUAGGAAGACUUGUUGAUAAUUAAUGUUGAAAAGGCAUAGCCAAAGCGCAGCAGAAAGGCCAAAGAAGACUAAGAUCGUUAGUGAAGAAGGCACCAAUAAGAGAAAACGGGCGAAAGAAUGAAAACAAGAGCUAGAGGAAGCAAAGCUGACCCAGAAAGCAAUGAAGCCAUUGGAAGACAGGAAUGAUAAUGCGGUGACUGACAGUAGCAGACCAAAACCAAAAAUUUGUCAUAACCUCAGCAACGCAGCAGAUACCAAAAAAAAAAAAAAAAAAAAAAAAAAAAAAAAAAAAAAAAAACUAGCACCCCAAGCAACUGGGUUGAAUCCCCGUAACAAGAUUAGCAUCAGCAGAAAUGUUUGGCCCUCUGAAGAUAUGAUCAAACCUGAUAUCAGCCAAAAAGCAUUUUCAAGCAUAAAUUGAAUCCAUCACCGAUUUUCCUCAGGUAAGCAAGUACUGGCUAGUUCAAUGGCGUCAGGAGAUGAACAACAAUGACAUUCCAGGUGCCCUUUUCACUUAUUUCUACAGUGUAAGUACUAUUUUGUUGAUCGGUUACAUGCAAAUAUCCAAUCAUUCUAAUUUGUUUUUGCCAUGGAUGUCCCCAAUUAUAUUUCAUUGUUGGUUGAAAUUAUUUUACACGCUUUUACUUGUGAGAUUUGCACAGAACCUGGAUUGCCACAGGAGUAUUUUGUCAACAAAAAUUAUCGCGCACAUUCUUUUUUGCCGAAAAUGCAUUGCCAAUACAUGGAAGUCGAAAGUCCUGGACAACAGUACAGCAAAUAUAAAAUGCCCUGGAAUGGAAUGUACACAUCUGUUGAGAGACUUGUGUCUUCUGAUGAAUCUCAAAAUCCCACCACAAUGAGAUAUGCAAGACAAAAUUUUGCUAUCAUUGUGGAACAACUCUCAGCCGGUUAUCAUCCCUGUAGGAAAACAGAUGCCAUUCGAACGUGCUGUUUUGUAUUUUUGGUUGCUCCGGCGUAUCCUCCGGCCUCUACCAGAUCAAGAGACUAAUCUCUUUCAUGGUAUCGACAAGCACCUUAAAGCAGGUUCCACAACAACCAACAAGGAUUCAAAGCCUGUUCGCCUCAUGAGGAGAACUGGCCUCUUGCCGCUAGACGAAACCAUCGUUUGUAAAGAAAUAGAUGAUUGAGUUCUCAAACAAUCUCAUUUCACUCAUUUCACGAGUAUUUAGAAUAGGCUUUGUGCUUUCUAACAUUAUAAAGUAAAAGAUUACUUUUUAUAUAUAAAAGACUCGAUAAUGAAAAAUAA